rnacentral:rRNA from 1 species
CACGUAGUUAGCCGGGGCUUCUUAGUCAGGUACCGUCAUUUUCUUUCCUGCUGAUAGAGCUUUACGUACCGAAAUACUUCUUCACUCACGCGGCGUCGCUGGAUCAGGGUUUCCCCCAUUGUCCAAUAUUCCCCACUGCUGUCUCCCGUAGGAGUUUGGGCCGUGUCUCAGUCCCAAUGUGGCCGUCCACCCUCUCAGGCCGGCUACUGAUCGUCGCCUUGGUGGGCCGUUACCCCGCCAACCAGCUAAUCAGACGCGGGCCCAUCCCAUACCACCGGAGUUUUCACACACCUUCAUGCGAAGCUGUGCGCUUAUGCGGUUUUAGCUACCUGUUUCCAGGUGUUAUCCCCCGGUAUGGGGCAGGUUGCCCGACGCGUUACUCACCCGUCCGCCACUAACUUACACUUCCGUAGUCAAUGCAAGCAUCUCCUGCUUCUGUGUAAGUCCGUUCGACUUUGCAUGUGUUAGGCACGCCGCCAGCGUUCAUCCUGACGCCAGGACUCCAAACUCUA